UACGGAGGGUGCAAGCGUUAUCCGGAUUCACUGGGUUUAAAGGGUGCGUAGGCGGAUAAGUAAGUCAGUGGUGAAAUCCCCGGGCUCAACCCGGGAACUGCGUCCGAUACUGGAAGGCUUGAAUCCGGGAGAGGGAUGUGGAAUUCCAGGUGUAGCGGUGAAAUGCGUAGAUAUCUGGAGGAACACCGGUGGCGAAGGCGACAUCCUGGACCGGUAUUGACGCUGAGGCGCGAAAGCCAGGGGAGCAAACGGG
rnacentral:rRNA from 1 species